UACGUAGGGUGCAAGCGUUAAUCGGAAUUACUGGGCGUAAAGCGUGCGCAGGCGGUUGUGCAAGACAGAUGUGAAAUCCCCGGGCUCAACCUGGGAAUUGCAUUUGUGACUGCACGGCUAGAGUGUGUCAGAGGGGGGUAGAAUUCCGCGUGUAGCAGUGAAAUGCGUAGAUAUGCGGAGGAACACCGAUGGCGAAGGCAAUCCCCUGGGCCUGCACUGACGCUCAUGCACGAAAGCGUGGGGAGCAACAGG
rnacentral:rRNA from 1 species